CAGAGAAUAGUUUAUAUCAAAAUAUUAACUUUGGAAGUUAAAGAUGAAAGAUAACUUUCUUCCCUGA
rnacentral:tRNA from 1 species